CCUACGGGGGGCAGCAGUGGGGAAUAUUGGGCAAUGGGCGAAAGCCUGACCCAGCAACGCCGCGUGAAGGAAGAAGGCUUUCGGGUUGUAAACUUCUUUUGACAGGGAAGAGCAGAAGACGGUACCUGUCGAAUAAGCCACGGCUAACUACGUGCCAGCAGCCGCGGUAAUACGUAGGUGGCAAGCGUUGUCCGGAUUUACUGGGUGUAAAGGGAGCGUAGACGGUGAUGCAAGUCAGAAGUGAAAGCCCGGGGCUCAACUCCGGGACUGCUUUUGAAACUGUGUGACUGGAGUGCAGGAGAGGUAAGCGGAAUUCCUGGUGUAGCGGUGAAAUGCGUAGAUAUCAGGAGGAACACCAGUGGCGAAGGCGGCUUACUGGACUGUAACUGACGUUGAGGCUCGAAAGCGUGGGGAGCAAACAGGAUUAGAUACCCCAGUAGUC
rnacentral:rRNA from 1 species